AAUCGAGAUAACUGACAGCUUAAGCAAACCUGCUUUGAUGAUAGUGAGGAAGAGGUUCCUGGUGGGGGUUUAUGAUAAUGAUGAGCUAACCAAGGUCAUUUAUUGACAUUUGGACCAGAGCGUCUAGAUUUGGCUUGCUGCCCCUGAAGCGACACGAUGGAAACUCUGCAAGACCUGAAGAUGGACAACCAGACCGCGGCUCUCCUGGCCUCUGCCGCCUGCGGGCUGGGAGCCCUGCUGGUGCUGAUGCGGAGCGCCAGCAGACACCGGGCAGCGGAGGACAAGAUCCAGAGAGCCAGGAGCCGGAGGACCGAGAGCCUGCAGCGGGCUGAGCAGGAGGUGCUCCGCUUCAGAGAGACGCAUCCAUCCUCCGACUCUGCCGCCAUCUUGUCCCUGUCGCUGCCUGAGUUGACAAAGCAGCUGCGGGAAAAUUCGCUCUCCCCCGAGGACGUGUUUUACUCCUACAUGGAAAAGACUCUGGCUGUGCACAAGAAGCUGAACUGCUGCACAGAGGUUUUGCUGGAGAGUUUCGACCAGCUGAAAAGACUUGGCUCCAACAAGGACGGCCUCCUCUACGGGGUUCCUAUCAGCAUCAAAGACAAUGUUGCUUAUAAGAACCAUGACUGCACCUGCGGCCUGAUCGUAAAUCUGGACCAGCCAGCCGAGAAGGACAGUGUGAUCGUGGAAGUACUGAAGAAACAAGGAGCCAUUCCUUUUGUGAAAACCAACCUGCCCCAAGCGCUGUUAAAUUAUGCCUGCAGCAACCCCAUCUUCGGGCAGACUGCGAACCCCUAUAAUGCCCAGAAGACCCCCGGAGGUUCCUCCGGUGGAGAGGGAGCUCUGAUCGCAGGAGGGGGCUCCAUUCUUGGCAUUGGCACCGACAUAGGUGGGAGCAUCCGCAUACCUGCCUCUUUCUGCGGCAUCUGUGGCUUUAAGCCCACAUCAGGCCGACUCAGUUCACAGGGCAUUGUUCCAAUUUACCGAGGUCAAAAGAGCGUGCGGUCAUCUCCUGGACCCCUGGCCCGGGACGUGGACAGUUUAGCUCUGUGUAUGCAGGCUCUCCUCUGUGACCACAUGUUUUCCCUGGACCCCACUGUACCACCAUUACCCUUUAAUCUUCAGACGUACCAGAGCUCCGGGCCUUUCAGAAUUGGUUAUUUUGAAAACGAUGGGUACACACAGCCCUCUCCCAGCAUGGUUCGCGGCCUCAGAGAGGUCAAAGCGCUGUUGGAGCAGGCUGGGCACACUCUGGUGCCGUAUGAACCUCUGAGGGUGACUCACGCUGUCAGUGAGCUCAUAGUUAAGAGCAUCUUUGCAGAUGGAGCCACCAACAUGCUACAGAAACUGAAGGGAGGACCCCUGGAACCUUGCAUGAAGUCUCGAGUUCAGUUGUACUCUCUUCCUAAGUGGUUGAAGAGAACCCUCAAGUUCCUGCUGAAGCCCUUUAGUCCUCGCCUCCCUGAUGUCCUUGGCGCCCUUUGUGGAGUCAGAUCUGUGUCAGAGCUUUGGAAGCAGCAUGCUGCUGUUGAGGACUACAUAUCUGAGACGAUCGAGCACUGGAGGAAACACAACAUAGACGUGCUGCUCUGCCCCAUGAUUGGACCGGCCUUCAACGUCUUAAACUGCGGCAAAUUCACAUGUUCCCCCAGCUUAACAAUACUGUACAACCUCCUCAAUUUUCCGGCUGGCACCGUCCCCGUAUCCACGGUGACAGCUCAGGACGAGGAGGAACUUGAGCAUUUCAGGGGCAAUUAUCAGGACCGGUGGGACAAGCUGCAUAAACAGGUUGUGACCGGAGCAGAGGGUCUGCCCGUGGCGGUGCAGUGCGUGGCCCUGCCCUGGCAGGAUGAGCUCUGUCUGCGCUUCAUGAAGGAGGUGGAACGUCUCGUCAAACACUAGAACAACCCACAUGUUCUGGAACUCACAGCUGGAGCCACAUCUGGCCUCCGGAGUGAAGGUUUUUACGUAAACUGCGUAAAGCUAAAUAACUGUAGCAAAAACUGAUGACCACGUUAAGAAAUUUUACACAGAUAUAAUUGUAAAAGAAUCACUUAUACUCAAGUGUUUAACACAUUUGUUACUUUUUCUUAUUAAUUGUCUUUCAAUUUAGGUCAAAGAAAUGUGUAAAUUCUUUAAUAUUGAGGUUUUCAUUUUGAAUAUAAUUCUUUUGGAUUUUAGAUUCACAAUUUAGAGUAUGAUUUAGACUUGACUGGUUCAUUUCUUAGUGAGAAGAUGAACGACAAACUACACCCAUGGGCAAAUAAACACAGCAAUUAGUGUGGAACGUGUUGUGAAAUAAACACUGAUUUUGAGAAGGAAUACUUGCUUGUUGUAAUCCUUUUUCAUAGUUUAAAAUUGAAUGUAAUCUGACAAAAUAAAAAUAAAAUAGAAUUAUGUAAAUGAGAAAUAAAA